UACGGAGGGAGCUAACGUUGUUCGGAAUUACUGGGCGUAAAGCGCACGUAGGCGGCUUUGUAAGUUAGAGGUGAAAGCCCGGGGCUCAACUCCGGAACUGCCUUUAAGACUGCAUCGCUUGAAUCCAGGAGAGGUGAGUGGAAUUCCGAGUGUAGAGGUGAAAUUCGUAGAUAUUCGGAAGAACACCAGUGGCGAAGGCGGCUCACUGGACUGGUAUUGACGCUGAGGUGCGAAAGCGUGGGGAGCAAACAGG
rnacentral:rRNA from 1 species